rnacentral:rRNA from 1 species
AUCAGAAGUGCGAAUGCUGACAUAAGUAACGAUAAAGCGGGUGAAAAGCCCGCUCGCCGGAAGACCAAGGGUUCCUGUCCAACGUUAAUCGGGGCAGGGUGAGUCGACCCCUAAGGCGAGGCCGAAAGGCGUAGUCGAUGGGAAACAGGUUAAUAUUCCUGUACUCGGUGUUACUGCGAAGGGGGGACGGAGAAGGCUAGGCUAGCCGGGCGACGGUUGUCCCGGUUUAAGCGUGUAGGGGGAGUGACCUGGUAAAUCCGGUUACUUGUUAACCCUGAGGCGUGAUGACGAUGCACUACGGUGCAGAAGUAGUUGAUGCCAAGCUUCCAGGAAAAGCCUCUAAGCAUCAGGUAACACAGAAUCGUACCCCAAACCGACACAGGUGGUCAGGUAGAGAAUACCAAGGCGCUUGAGAGAACUCGGGUGAAGGAACUAGGCAAAAUGGUGCCGUAACUUCGGGAGAAGGCACGCUGGCGCGUAGGUGAAGAGACUUGCUCUCGGAGCUGAAGCCAGUCGCAGAUACCAGCUGGCUGCAACUGUUUAAUAAAAACACAGCACUGUGCAAACACGAAAGUGGACGUAUACGGUGUGACGCCUGCCCGGUGCUGGAAGGUUAAUUGAUGGGGUCAGCCGCAAGGCGAAGCUCUUGAUCGAAGCCCCAGUAAACGGCGGCCGUAACUAUAACGGUCCUAAGGUAGCGAAAUUCCUUGUCGGGUAAGUUCCGACCUGCACGAAUGGCGUAAUGAUGGCCAGGCUGUCUCCACCCGAGACUCAGUGAAAUUGAACUCGCUGUGAAGAUGCAGUGUACCCGCGGCAAGACGGAAAGACCCCGUGAACCUUUACUAUAGCUUGACACUGAACAUUGAGCCUUGAUGUGUAGGAUAGGUGGGAGGCUUUGAAGCGUGGACGCCAGUCUGCGUGGAGCCAACCUUGAAAUACCACCCUUUAAUGUUUGAUGUUCUAACUCGGCCCCGUAAUCCGGGGUGAGGACAGUGUCUGGUGGGUAGUUUGACUGGGGCGGUCUCCUCCCAAAGAGUAACGGAGGAGCACGAAGGUUAGCUAAUCACGGUCGGACAUCGUGAGGUUAGUGCAAAGGCAUAAGCUAGCUUGACUGCGAGAGUGACGGCUCGAGCAGGUACGAAAGUAGGUCUUAGUGAUCCGGUGGUUCUGAAUGGAAGGGCCAUCGCUCAACGGAUAAAAGGUACUCCGGGGAUAACAGGCUGAUACCGCCCAAGAGUUCAUAUCGACGGCGGUGUUUGGCACCUCGAUGUCGGCUCAUCACAUCCUGGGGCUGAAGUAGGUCCCAAGGGUAUGGCUGUUCGCCAUUUAAAGUGGUACGCGAGCUGGGUUUAGAACGUCGUGAGACAGUUCGGUCCCUAUCUGCCGUGGGCGUUGGAAGAUUGAGAGGGGUUGCUCCUAGUACGAGAGGACCGGAGUGAACGCACCACUGGUGUUCGGGUUGUCAUGCCAAUGGCACUGCCCGGUAGCUAAGUGCGGAAAAGAUAAGCGCUGAAAGCAUCUAAGCGCGAAACUUGCCUCGAGAUGA